CCGGGUUUGUCUUUUGUUCAUUUAUUGUCCUACUUUAUAACUAUAGUCUGCAGAGUGUUGAUUUUCAUUUGUAAAGUAUGGUUUUGCAAUGUUGCAUGUCCACCGAUGUCCAGACAUUGUACGAGAAAAUAUUUUAAGAAUAUACGAUGCUACUGGACAUAGAAAAAAAAUGUCGUUUCUGCAUGGAGAAUUGAACUUGAUAUCAAAGAAUACAAAACUGGCUCUUUUUUGUAGAUAAAACUAGAUAACUGACAUGGUUUAAAUUAAAGUAAGACCACCAAUUUACCGG
rnacentral:lncRNA from 1 species